GCCUCACCCUCACCGUCGGAUACAGAGGGGGCCUGAGAGCGGGGCAGACUCCGCGGCUUCCCUGCCUUCCCUGCCGACGAACAUUAACAUCCCCCCCUCUUCCUUCCCCUUCUUUUCUCCUCCCUUCCUCCUUCUAAACCUAAAGAAUGGCAAAAAAGAGUAAAGGUCCUCAAAAAUUGUGCUGAAAUUCCACGUGAAGAAAAAAUUUCAGGCAUAAAAUGUGCACCUCUCGGGCUAUACCUUAGAACCUCGUUUCCACCAACCAAGAAGAGAAAGUGCACAGAGGUGCUGGAGGACCCCGGGGACUGCCAGGUGUGGGCCCAGCACCAGGACCCCGGGGACUGCCAGGUGUGGGCCCAGCAUGAGGACCCCGGGGACUGCCAGGUGUGGGCCCAGCACGCCCGAGCAGGUGAGCCGACCCAGGGCCUGUCCCCGCGUUCACCCUUCAGCCAGGGGUUAGUCCCCGGGGGUUUCCUCCUCUCCUCCUAACCCCGUUACCGGUUACCAGCGGUGCUAGGUGGGGUCACGCAGGGCCUCCUGGGGAGAGAUGCCACAUUCUCUCCCUCUCCCUCUCUCUGGUGGAGGCCAAAUGACCAU
rnacentral:lncRNA from 1 species